rnacentral:rRNA from 1 species
UGGGGAAUAUUGGACAAUGGGCGCAAGCCUGAUCCAGCCAUGCCGCGUGAGUGAUGAAGGCCCUAGGGUUGUAAAGCUCUUUCAGCGAGGAGGAUAAUGACGUUACUCGCAGAAGAAGCCCCGGCUAACUUCGUGCCAGCAGCCGCGGUAAUACGAAGGGGGCUAGCGUUGUUCGGAAUCACUGGGCGUAAAGCGCACGUAGGCGGACUUUUAAGUCAGGGGUGAAAUCCCGGGGCUCAACCUCGGAACUGCCUUUGAUACUGGAAGUCUGGAGUCCGAGAGAGGUGAGUGGAACUCGAGUGUAGAGGUGAAAUUCGUAGAUAUUCGGAAGAAACACCAGUGGCGAAGGCGGCUCACUGGCUCGGUACUGACGCUGAGGUGCGAAAAGCGUGGGGAGCAAAACAGGAUUAGAUACCCUGGUAGUCCACGCCGUAAAACGAUGGAAGCUAGCCGUCAGGGUGCAUGCAUCUUGGUGCGCAGUUAACGCAUUAAGCUUCCCGCCUGGGGAGUACGGUCGCAAGAUUAAAAACUCAAAUGAAUUGACGGGGGUCAUA